GCGUGAGUGACGAAGGCCUUAGGGUUGUAAAACUCUUUCGCCGGGGACGAUAAUGACGGUACCCGGAGAAGAAGCUCCGGCUAACUUCGUGCCAGCAGCCGCGGUAAUACGAAGGGGGCUAGCGUUGUUCGGAUUUACUGGGCGUAAAGCGCAUGUAGGCGGGCUGUUAAGUUGGGGGUGAAAGCCCGGAGCUCAACUCCGGAAUUGCCUUCAAAACUGGCAGCCUGGAGCAAGAUAGAGGCGAGUGGAAUUCCGAGUGUAGAGGUGAAAUUCGU
rnacentral:rRNA from 1 species